rnacentral:lncRNA from 1 species
UUUCUCGCAAUUCCAUAUGAGGGCUCAAUGUAUUUCCUUACUAUGAAUGGUUCCUCUAUAAUCUCUCUCCAUCUUUGUUACAACAGCUACUAGCUAACCCUAAACAGAUCUCAAGUUACAGAGCACCAAACUUGAGGUGGAAACGCAAAGGCUAAAUUUCAGCUAACUGAAAAAGACCUGAACACAACACCUGACAUAGAAAAUUGCAGCACAUAUUUCUCCAUAUUUUACACAGUAGUAAGCCCCACUCCUCUGAUGAAGCUUGUUCACCUUCAUCUGGUCUUUGACUUUUCUAUACAACUGGUAACUCAAAACCUCAUGAACUGGUCAUAGGAGAGCUCCAAACUGAGCAAUCUGCUGCAAUCCAGUUUUCAGCUAAUCUGAACAAAAAUUCAGUCAGUGCAAACUCACAGUCCAUUUUUGGGCAGCUUUCACUCUAUUUUCCAUACACACCCAAACCAAACCUACUUAAGGAGAAUGGUUUACCAUCAUAUGAGCUUCUCUAUCUUAUGCAGAGCACAAAAUAUGCACAACUCGACUGAGGAAACCUUUGAAGUUACCUGGUCACGGCGAGGUGGACUGAUUGCCGACGAUGGUCACCACCUAGGGACUGGUACACCAAGCUCUGGGCAGAUGGACCAAGAUAUUGGGAGGGGAUUAACUCCGGGGAAACAUAGGCUACAAGAGCCAAGGAGAUCACUCGAGCUCUAGGACUGCACGGCCUACUGGACCAUGACUUAAGUAGGAGAUGGGAAGACUAGGGCAGAUCGAGUUGGUGGCUGGGAAGAGGAGCCUAGACUUACAAACACGAACCGCUAAG